GUGCGUGGCACUUCAUUAGUACAAAAGCUUUGCAUUCAUAACAAAGAAAUGGGCAGUAGGAGAUGCACUAACCAUGUCUAUGUCAUCCUGCAUGGUGUCCCCCCUCCUUUAAACAGUGCCUGGGGCUCAGACAGGUCUUGGUGCACCACAGGGUGGGACUGUGCGAAAUGAGCUCCUAAAGACUGGUCCCUUCUGCUGAGCCUGGGGAGGAUGGCCCUGGGAUGCUGAGAGCCUGCAGAGUGCAGUAGGAUGGGUUUUGAGCAGGUUAUUCUUCCCAGUUGCUAGUUCUGAAGGAUGCAUAUGAAGCUGUUAGAAAGCCCUGUAUUGACUAAGAUGUCCAGUGUAAUCCAUUGGCUCAUUACUGAAGCAGUGUAAGUGCAUCACUCUGUGUGCAGCAGACUAUGAAGGCACCAGCAGCCCUUAGCAUACGUGGAUGUUUCCUGACAUUAAAGUCACUUCUGUAAGACAGACACAUCCAAUGGUGACUGUGCUCUAAGAAGAAGAAAGUAAAGGACCAAAGAACCAAACAAGACUUGGAUUAUAUAAGGCAAUCCACCCACCCUACACUUGGUGCUAAGGUGAUGAAAACCUGCAACAAGGUAGUUAGGGUCGCUGUGGGGUCUACCUGACUGGAAGUUCUUUGAGAGAAAGGUAGAAAAGCUCCUGCCAGAGAUGGACUUGCUCUAUGCAGUCCUGCCCCAGUGCAGAAAGGCUGUACUGGGAAACCUUUUUCAGACUCCUUCAAGCCCAGUAUUUCUAAGGAAAUGCCCGGGGGGUUGAAUUUCGUACUGCAAGUGAGCAGUAGU